rnacentral:rRNA from 1 species
GGACUACAGGGGUUUCUAAUCCUGUUUGCUCCCCACGCUUUCGCACAUGAACGUCAGUAUUCGACCAGGAAGUCGCUUUCGCCACUGGUGUUCCUUCCGACAUCUACGCAUUUCACCGCUACACCGGAAAUUCCACUUCCCUCUUCGAUACUCUAGCCAUGCAGUUUCAAAUGCAGUCCCCAGGUUGAGCCCAGGGAUUUCACAUCUGACUUACAAAACCGUCUACACGCGCCUUACGCCCAGUAAUUCCGAUUAACGCUCGCACCCUCUGUAUUACCGCGGCUGCUGGCAC